AGCAUGCUUCAUGGAGGAGAGAUAAAAGGAAGAAAAGUGUGGACAGCGCACUCACUGACUUGCAGAAUGAUGUCCAGGAGAUUGACAGCUCCACUGUGUUUCAUCAAUAUUAUUGUCCCCGCAAGGAUCCACUCUCCUCUCCUCCCAGGAAUGACCCGUAUACAAUCCU